rnacentral:rRNA from 1 species
CUACGGGUGGCUCCAGCCGGGAAUAUUGCGCAAUGGGCGAAAGCCUGACGCAGCGACACCGCGUGUGGGAUUAAGCUCUUCGGAGUGUAAACCACUGUGGCAGGGGAAGAAUUUUGACUGUACCCUGCUAGAAAGCACCUGCUAACUACGUGCCAGAAGCCUCGGUAAUACGUAGGGUGCAAGCGUUAUCCGGAUUUAUUGGGCGUAAAGAGUUCCGUCGGCGUCUUUGCAAGUUACUGGUUUAAUCCUGGGGCUCAACUCCAGACCAGCCAGUAAAACUACAAGGAUUGAGUUUGUUCGGGGAAGCUAGAAUUCUCGGUGGAGGGGUGAAAUCCGUAGAUAUCGAGAGGAAUACCAGUCGCGAAGGCGGGCUUCUAGAACAAUACUGACGCUCAUGGACGAAAGCCUGGGUAGCAAAUGGGAUUAGAUACCCCCGUAGUC